rnacentral:tRNA from 1 species
AGGGAUUUAAGUUAAUAAAACUAAUAGCCUUCAAAGCUUUAAUUGAUUUAAAAAUCAAUCUCUA